rnacentral:rRNA from 1 species
GCGGGCUGGACCUCUCGGGGUUACAGCCUUGCUGAAUUAUUCACCCUUGUCUUUUGCGUACUUCUUGUUUCCUUGGUGGGUUCGCCCACCACUAGGACAAACAUAAACCUUUUGUAAUUGCAAUCAGCGUCAGUAACAAAUUAAUAAUUACAACUUUCAACAACGGAUCUCUUGGUUCUGGCAUCGAUGAAGAACGCAGCGAAAUGCGAUAAGUAGUGUGAAUUGCAGAAUUCAGUGAAUCAUCGAAUCUUUGAACGCACAUUGCGCCCUUUGGUAUUCCAAAGGGCAUGCCUGUUCGAGCGUCAUUUGUACCCUCAAGCUUUGCUUGGUGUUGGGCGUCUUGUCUCUAGCUUUGCUGGAGACUCGCCUUAAAGUAAUUGGCAGCCGGCCUACUGGUUUCGGAGCGCAGCACAAGUCGCACUCUCUAUCAGCAAAGGUCUAGCAUCCAUUAAGCCUUUUUUUCAACUUUUGACCUCGGAUCAGGUAGGGAUACCCGCUGAACUUAAG